rnacentral:lncRNA from 1 species
UAGCUACUUGGGAGGCUGAGCUGGGAGGAUUGCUUGAAUCCGGGAGGCAGAGGAUGCAGUGAGCCAAGAUCAUGCCACUGCACUCCAGCCUGGGUGACAGAAUGAGACCCUGUCUCAAAUGAAUGAAUGAAUGAAUGAAUGAUUGAAUGAUUGAAUAAAAUCGGCCAACCUGAUUAUAUGGUUUUCUCCAACAAUGUGUAGCUGCACUGGUGCAGGUAAAGAGUAUGUGGUGGAUUAAUUUUAAUUGUGUUUUAGUACCCUUACUUCAUGUGUGUAUAUCCGUAAACAAUAUAUACUAUUACCAUGUUUUUUAAAUGUACAUACAUGACAUAUUCUAUUGCAAAUUGUUUUUUAUUUGACCUAUUCUUGAAAUUUAUCCAAGCUGAUAAAUGGGAUGUUUCAUUUAUUUUAACUGUUGUGUAAUAAUCCUUUAUAUUAGUUAUCCAGUCUAUCUUUUCUCCUACUGAGGUACAUUUAGGUUGUUUCUAUGUUUUCUCUAUCACAGUGUUGCAUUUUUUCCCCUGAUGUUAUUGAUUUGUUGGAGUUCGUUAAGUAUUAUAGAUACCAACCCUUUAUAACUAUAUGUUUUGUAAAUUUCUUUUCUAAAAUUUUAACUUGUUUUUAAUUUUGUUUAAUGAUCUUUUUUGCCAUUUAACAUUUUAAUAUCCAAUGUACUAAAUCUUUUCUUUUACGGCUUAUUUUUUUAAUUUUAAAAAAAUUUUAAUUGUGGUUAAAAAAACACAAAACAAAAAUUGCCAUCUUAACUGUUUGUGAAUAUAUGGUUCAGCAGCUUUAAUAAUACUCAUUUUGUUAUGUAACAGAUCUCUAGCACUUUUUCAUCUUGCAAAAUUAAAACUCUAUACCUUUUCCCCCGUCCCCUAACCCCCAGCAGCCACCAUUCUACUUUCUAUUUCUGUGAGUUUGACUACUUAUGAUAUCCCAUGUCAGUGGAGUUGUACAGUAUUUAUUUUAUUUUUGUGACUAUUUCACUUAGCAUAGUUCUCAAGGUUCAUGCAUGCUGUAGCAUGUGACAAGAUUUCCUUCUUUAUUAAGGCUGAAUAAUAUUCCAUGGUAUUUAUAUGCCACAUUUUGUUUAUUCGUUUAUCUGUUGAUGGACAUUUGGAUUGCUCUCACCUCUUGGCUAUUGUGAAUAAUACAGUGAACGUGGUUGUGCAAAUAUUUCUUCAAGAGGCCUGCCUUCAAUUCUUUUGGAUAUAUACCCACAAGGGGGAUUGCUAGAUCAUAUGGUAGUUCUACUUUUAAUUUUUUGAGGAACAUUUAUACUAUUUUCCAUAGCAGCUGCACCAUUUUACAUUCUCACCAGCAGUGCUAAAAAGUUCCAGGUUCUCCGUAUCUUUGCCAACACUUGUUAUGUUGGUGUUUUUGUUAUUAUAGUGGCUGUCCUAAUGAGUGUAAGGUGAAAUCUCAUUGUAAUUCUGAUUCGCGUUUAUCUCUAAUCAUUAGUGAUGUUGAGCAUCUUUUCAUAUGCUGUUAACCAUUUGUAUGUUAUCUUUGGAGAAAUGUCUAUUAGAGUCCUUUGCUCAUUUUAAAAUCAGGUUAUUUGUGGGUUUUGUUGUUUUUAGGAGUUCUUUAUAUAUUCUAGAUAUUAACUCCUUAUCAGAUAUAUGAUUUGCAAAUAUUUUCUCCCAUUCUGUAGGUUGCCUUUCAUUCUGUUUCUUUCCUUCGAUAUUCAGAAGUUUUUAAAUUUGAUAUAGUCCCAUUUGUCUAUUUUUGCUUUUGUUGUCUGUGCUUUUGGUGUCAUAUCUAAGAAAUCGUUGCCAGAUCCAAUGUCAUGAAGCUUUUCCCAUGUAUUUUCUUCCAGGAUUUUUACAGUUCUAGGUCUUACAUUUAGGGUAUAAAAUCAGGUGGAAAUAUUUUAUAUUUUUAAUACAAAUAACCCAAUUACCUUUUAAGUAUUUGUUGACUAGUCAGUUAAUCUUUUCUCUUCUUAUUCGAAAUGCAACUUCUGUCAUAUAACUAAGUUCCCAAGCAUACUUACGAGUCUGUUUUUAGGCUCUUCAUUGAAUUCCAUUUGUCUGUUUGCCUCGCUCUGUAUCAGAACCAAAAUAUCUUAAAGCAUCUGGCUGGCCGGGCGUGGUGGCUCACGCCUGUAAUCUCAGCACUUUGGGAAGCUGAGGUAGGAGGAUCGCUUGAGGCCAAGAGUUCAAGACCAGCCUGGGCAAUAUAGCAAGAAUUCAUCUCUACAAAAUAUUUAAAAAAUUAGUUGAGUGUGUUGGUGCAUGCCUUUAGUCCCAGCUGCUCGGGAAGCUGAGGCAGAAGGUUCACUUGAACCCAGGAAUUUGAGGUUGCAGUGAGCUGCGAUCAUGCCACUGCACUCCAGCCUAGACAACAGAGCAAGACUUUAUCUCAAAAAAGAAAAGAAAAAAAAGCCUAUCAUUUUAUAGUAAGUCUUGAUUCUGAAAAGGUGAGAUCUUUUUCCUCUUCACCCUCACCCUACCUCCCUCUCCUUUCCCCCGACCUUCGUCCUCCCUCUUCACUGUCUUCUCUAUUCUUGGCUUUUUGUGUUCCUCCACAUGAAUUGUGGAAUCGAAUAUAUAAAUUAAUUUGGAGGGAACUGCAAUUUUUGAAUAUUGACCCUUCCAGUCAAUGAAUUUGCAUCAGUGAAUGUUCAGAUCUUCUCAUUUAUUUAGUUUUUUAUGUCUUUCAAAAAUAUUUUGUACUAUUAUCUGUAAUAUUUUAUACAUAUAUUAUUAGACUUAUUUCUAUUUAUACAUUUUGUUUCAAUUAUAAGAAUUACCUUUAAAAACUGGAAUAUUUAUGUUUUUCUUGCCAGAGCUUAGGAAUGCUGUUGACCUUAUACAUAAAACAUUGAAUUCUUAUUAGGUGCACAAAUUUAUAGAUUGACUUGGAUUUUUGUAUAGAUGACUACAUUAAAAAGAAAAAAGUCAGAACCAUUAUUUGUAAGUAAUAAUGGCUUUGUUUCUUUUCAUUUCUCAUACCUUUUAGUUUCUGUGUGUUUGGGGAUGGUUAUUUUGUUUAGGUUUGGCUUGGUUUUAUUGAUUUGUCUACCAAGUUUUAUGUGUAUAUGUAUUUUUUACAUUAAAGAACAUGUAUUUUAGUCAUUUAGUAUGGUAUUUGCUGUAGGUUUUUGGUAGAUAAAUUAUAUUUUUAGUAUCUUUAUUGUUAUAAGUAAAUUCUUAUGGUUUUUCUCUUUAACCACAUAAUGAUGUGAAUUAUAUGAAUAGAUUUUUGUUUCCUUUUUCAGUGUUAGACCAUCUUUCAAUUCCUGGAACAAACUUAACUUUCCAUGAUAUGUAUUUUUUAUACAUUGCUGGAUUUUAUUUGCUAAUAUUUUACUUAGGAUUUUAUUUUCUAAGUUGACCUAUAAUUUUCCUGUAUAAAAUUGCAUUUGUCACAUUUUAGUAUCAAGGUUGUCCUAGCACCAUGAAAUGGAUUUAGAAUGGUUUAUGUAAGAUAAAGUACAUUUCUUCUAAAGGUUUGUGUGGAUUCACUUUCAAAUCUGCCAGAGUGUGUUUUUUUCCUUUUUUUUUUUUUUUCAUUUUAAGUGAGUGCAAGUAGCUUUUCAAAUACUGAUUUAAUUUUUAAAAUAUUUACAAGUAUAUUUAGAGUUUUUAUUUCUUCUUGAAUGUUAACAUUUUUAUAGAAAAUGGUAUUAUCUUUUUAAAUUCUUUGACAUCAGUUUCUUCAGAAUUUCCUUACUUUUAAAAAUCUCUGUAACUAUAGUAAUGUUUUAUUUUAAAUUACUGAUAUUAUUCAUUUGUUACUUUUCUUGAUCCUUUGUUAGAAGUGUCCAUUUUAUUAGUCUUUUAUAAGAAAGAGCUUUUGUCAAGCCUUCUAUUUUUCUUCUCUUUCUUUGAUGAGGUUUAUUAUUUUGUGCAUUUUACUUUCUAUAAGCUUCUUUCAUAUUCUUUUUCUAAGCUUUUAAUUUGGACAUCCAGCUCACUAAUAUUUAAUCUUUUUAAAAUAAAGCUGUGAAUUUUUAAAAAUAGCUCUAGCUGCAUCCCACAAGUUCUUAUAUAUAGUAUUUUUAUUGUUACUGUAAUAUUUAUUGUCACUUUUUCUUUGAGUGGUGGCUCAUACCUAUAUCCAAGCACUUUAAGAGUCUGAGGCGGGCGAAUCACUUGAGCUCAGGAGCCUGGACAACAUAGCAAAACUGCGUCUCUCUACAAAAAGUACAAAAAUUAGCCAGGCGUGGUAGCAAGAGCCCAGCUACUUGGGAGGCUGAGGCAAGAGGAUCACUUGAGCCUGGGAAGUCAAAACUGCAGUGAGCUGUGAUCACACCACUACACUCCAGCCUGGAUGACAGAAUGAGACCUUGUCUCAAAAAAAAAAAAAAAAGAAAAGAAAAGAAAGAAAGAGAAAAAAGACAUAUGCCUGAAAGACUAUGUGUGUAUUCUCUAAUUGAUGGAUACAGGAUUUUGUAUAUUUUCAUGAAUAUCAUUCAAAUCUUGAAUAUCUUUACUAAUAUUUUUCCUUCUUGAUCUGUCAGUUAUAAGAAACAUAUGUUAAAAUACCCAUGAUGAUUGUGGAUUUGUCCAUUUCUCCUUGAAGAUCUCUCCAUUUUUAUUUUAUAUAUUUUUAAAGCUUUUCACAAAUUUUUGAGGAUAUUCAAGCUUGGAAUAGAGUUAUUUCCCUAGUGAAAUGUUCCUUUUAUUAUUUUGUAAUGUACGUAAUUUUAAUAAUUCUUUUGCCUUAAAGUUCAUUUCUCCUCCUAUUAAUAAAGAUACUCCAGCUUUCUGUUGGUUAGUGCUGUCUGAUACAACUUUUUUCAUCUCUUUACUUUCAAUCUUUCUUUGUCAUUAUGUUUUAGGUGUGCCUUUUAUAAAUAACAUAUAGCUGGAUUUUAUUUUUUGAUCGAGAGUUUCUGUCUUUUAACUGGUGAGUUAUGAUACCUGUAUAUUAUGAUUACUGAUAUAUUUUUAUUUAUUUCUCUUAUCUUGCUUUGUGUUUCUCUUUGCUUCUGUUUUCCCUUUUUCCUGUCUUCUAUUUAAAUGAUUAAGAUCUUUUGAUUUCAUGUCCGCCUAAUGGUCUGGAAGUCAUGUAUAUUCUAUUUCUGUUCUUUUAGUAGUUAUUACCCUGAUUUUAUUUACUUAUCUAUUUUUAUACACAAGGCAUUUCUGUAAUAUUACCCUGAUUUUAGACUUGUGCUCUGACUUAACAGAGUCUGAAAUUAUCCAUUAUCUCUCAAACGAUCAUGACCACUACAAGAACGUUAGAAUGCUUCAACUUCAGUUAUUUAUCUAAUUUUUAUAUUAUUUAGUAUUUUAGUCCUACCUGCUAAAUUUCCACAAAUCAAUCAUUACUGUGCAGUUAUUACUUUUAUUUUAUAAAUUCAGUGCUUGUUUAUAUUUACUUACACAUUUGUUUUCUCUGCUUAUUCUUGCUUCUUGCAUCUGAGUUUUUUCUUUCAAGUUCAAUUUAUUAAUUUAUGAAAUACAUACGUUAGAUUUCUUUUUAGCAAGGUUCAAUGAUUAAUAAAU